rnacentral:pre_miRNA from 1 species
CUUCUACUCCCUUCGUUCGGAAUUACUUGUCGCAGAAAUGGAUGUAUUUAGACAUAUUUUAGUUUUAGAUACAUCCAUUUCCGAGACAAGUAAUUCCGAACGGAGGGAGUAAUUU